rnacentral:lncRNA from 1 species
UAUACAAAGUAUUUGGAUCAUGAUAAAUUAUGUGUUAGUUGAUAAAAAGACACUCUGCUUUUUAUGUACAUUAAAUUAUAAAAAGACAAUGUUUAAGAAGAGACAGAAAGAAUUAGAGAAGAGUGGUAUUAGCAAUAAGAAACAAAA